UGGAAACACUAUAAAGAGCCUUAGCUGUCA
rnacentral:piRNA from 1 species